CUGGUGAGUAACACGUGGGUGACAUACCCUUCAGAUGGGGAUAGCUAUUAGAAAUAGUAGAUAAUACCGAAUACGAGCACAGGGGUUAGAGAUCUGUGAGGAAAGGAGCUAAGGCUCCGCUGAAGGAAUGGCCUGCGGCCCAUUAGCUAGUUGGUGAGGUAAGAGCCCACCAAGGCGAUGAUGGGUAUCCGGCCUUAGAGGGUGAACGGACACAUUGGGACUGAGAUACGGCCCAGACUCCUACGGGAGGCAGCAGCUAAGAAUAUUCCGCAAUGGACGAAAGUCUGACGGAGCGACGCCGCGUGGAUGAAGAAGGCCGGAAGGUUGUAAAAAUCCUUUUGAAACUGAAGAAUAAGCGUUGUAGGGAAUGACAGCGUGGUGACAGUAGGUUUUGAAUAAGCAACGGCUAAUUACGUGCCAGCAGCCGC
rnacentral:rRNA from 1 species